rnacentral:rRNA from 1 species
ACGGGUGAGUAACACGUGGGUAACCUGCCCAAGAGACUGGGAUAACACCUGGAAACAGAUGCUAAUACCGGAUAACAACACUAGACGCAUGUCUAGAGUUUAAAAGAUGGUUCUGCUAUCACUCUUGGAUGGACCUGCGGUGCAUUAGCUAGUUGGUAAGGUAACGGCUUACCAAGGCAAUGAUGCAUAGCCGAGUUGAGAGACUGAUCGGCCACAUUGGGACUGAGACACGGCCCAAACUCCUACGGGAGGCAGCAGUAGGGAAUCUUCCACAAUGGACGCAAGUCUGAUGGAGCAACGCCGCGUGAGUGAAGAAGGGUUUCGGCUCGUAAAGCUCUGUUGGUAGUGAAGAAAGAUAGAGGUAGUAACUGGCCUUUAUUUGACGGUAAUUACCUAGAAAGUCACGGCUAACUACGUGCCAGCAGCCGCGGUAAUACGUAGGUGGCAAGCGUUGUCCGGAUUUAUUGGGCGUAAAGCGAGUGCAGGCGGUUCAAUAAGUCUGAUGUGAAAGCCCUCGGCUCAACCGGAGAAUUGCAUCAGAAACUGUUGAACUUGAGUGCAGAAGAGGAGAGUGGAACUCCAUGUGUAGCGGUGGAAUGCGUAGAUAUAUGGAAGAACACCAGUGGCGAAGGCGGCUCUCUGGUCUGCAACUGACGCUGAGGCUCGAAAGCAUGGGUAGCGAACAGGAUUAGAUACCCUGGUAGUCCAUGCCGUAAACGAUGAGUGCUAAGUGUUGGGAGGUUUCCGCCUCUCAGUGCUGCAGCUAACG